AUGCUGGAUCUUUUGCAACGCCUCGGCUUUCCUCAAAGAUGGCGGGCCCUCCUGACGACUCUCUUCACCACGGCCUCCUCUAGGGUUUUGCUCAACGGAAUCCCUGGGAGGGACAUCAUGCAUGGACGGGGUUUUCGUCAGGGUAAUCCCCUCUCGCCCCUCCUGUUCGACAUCGCCAUCGACCCACUUCAGAGACUUCUGGAAAAGGCUACGGAAUCCGGCUUGCUGUCUGCUAUGCCUGGUGGUAUUCAGGGCCCCAGUGUCUCCCUAUAUGCGGACGACGCUGCCAUUUUUCUAUCCCCCACGACACAUGAUGUGGAAGGCCUUGCUUCCAUUCUACAGAGUUUUGGGGUAGUCUCUGGCCUCGUGACAAAUGUGACCAAGAGCUCCAUCGCCCCCAUCCAAUGCACCAACAUUAACUUGGAGGAGAUUCUGGCGAACUUCCCAGCAACUACAACCCCCUUCCCCAUUAAGUAUCUGGGGUUGCCCCUCUCCCUCGGAAGACUUAGGCGUGUGGACCUUCAACCCUACAUCGACAAAGCGGUGGCUCGUCUUAGCCCAUGGAAAGGAAAGUUCCUGAACCGUGCCGGGUGCACUGCUCUGGUUAAGUCCGUGCUCUCCUCCAUGCCAAUCUUCCUGCUGACGGCUUUAAAGGCUGACAAAGGCAUCCUCAGGGCCUUUGCGAAGAUCAGUCGUGGCAUGCUCUGGGCCUGUAAGGAGGCGGUUAGUGGAGGGAAAUGCAAAGUCAACUGGCAAAAGGUCUGCCGCCCCAAGGAGCUCGGUGGUUUGGGGGUUCUGGACCUGGAGAGGUUCUCCCGGGCCCUGAGGCUUCGCUGGUUAUGGUAUGAGUGGAAUGCUCCUGAGAAGCCAUGGGUGGGCUCUGAAACACCCAACGAUGCCUCCGACCUUGACCUCUUCAAUGCGGCUACUCGCGUCACCAUCGGAAACGGCGCCAAGGCCUCCUUCUGGUCGUCUUCAUGGCUCAAUGGUACCCCGCCAAAAGACCUAGCUCCCCUAAUUUUCAAGGCUUCCAAGAGGAAGAAUCGGACGGUCCAGGACGCUCUCGCUGAUAACAACUGGAUCUCGGACAUAGCGGUGGAUGCGUUCACGGCCGAUCACAUGGAACAAUACGUCCGCCUCUGGGAGCUCUUGUCAGAUAUCCAGCUUCAACCUGACACUGAGGACUCCAUUACCUGGUCCUUGACCCCUAAUGGGUGCUACUCGGCCACCUCCGCCUACAAGGUCCAGUUCCUUGCCUCUUUGCCCUGCCAGUUCGGGAACAUCGUGUGGAAGACCUGGGCCCCUCCAAAGUGUCGUUUCUUCGCUUGGCUCGCUGUCCAGAACCGUUUAUGGACCGCCGAUCGCUUGGCGAAAUGCGGAUGGCCGCACCAACCUACUUGUCAGCUCUGCCGUACCUCCCCUGAGACGGCACGGCACAUUCUUUUCGAGUGCCGCUUCUCCAGACGUAUCUGGACGGCCGCGGCCUCUUGGCUGUCUUGUCCAGACCUCAUCAGCAGCAUCGGGGAGGGUAGGCCUAAAGUCGUGGACUAUUGGUUGGCCGUUUCGAAGUCCACCACCUCCUCCCCAAAUGGCUUGCGCUCAGCUAUCACGCUCAUCACUUGGGAGAUCUGGAAAGAGAGGAACGAACGAGUUUUCAACAACAAGUCCUCCCUGCCAUCGGUUGUCAUGCAUAAGAUUAGGGAAGAGGGGAAGGACUGGAUCCUCGCCGGUGCUAAAAAUCUGGCGGAACUUGUAGGCUGA
rnacentral:rRNA from 1 species